CACGUAGGGGGGCUAGCGUUGUCCGGAAUCAUUGGGCGUAAAGCGCGUGUAGGCGGCCAGAUAAGUCCGGUGUGAAAGUCAAAGGCUCAACCUUUGAAUGCCGCUGGAACUGAUCUGGCUAGAGUCCGGAAGGGGCGAGUGGAACUCCUGGUGUAGCGGUGAAAUGCGCAGAUAUCAGGAAGAACACCUAUGGCGAAGGCAGCUCGCUGGGACGGUACUGACGCUGAGACGCGAAAGCGUGGGGAGCGAACAGG
rnacentral:rRNA from 1 species